GACAAGAUGAGAGAAAAGAAGGAAGGGAGGAUACUGCCUUGCACUCCUAGUAUUGGAGGCCUCUGAGCCUUCUGUUGGGAAGAACAGAGGAAAUUAGAAGCUGGUAGUCCUGGUCUCCCCUUCUGCACAACCCGCCAUGGCCCCCACUCCCAGAUCCAGUAGCUCACAGAGGAGCAGCAUGGUAGAGAAAAUCAGACGAUGACAUCAAGAAACCAGGGAUGUUUUGGAGGCCCACUGAGAGAACUGAUGUAAAAUGCUCUAAAGAUGAAGAGAAUUACAACAAAUCACUCAUGGAUGGAGGCAGAACAAGUUCAGCUCAGCUUCAUGGGACUGGCCAGUUCUUACUGUGGUCCUAGGAGGUAGGAUUCAUGGUCUUCUGUGUCUGUUCACAGCCCAAGAACAGGAAGAAGGGACAGAACAUGUUUCUGAGCUCCUGCACUGGGGCAUGAACACAGUUUGCAUUCCCGCAUAUAUGUCAAUGUCUUUACCCACAUAUACAGUUUGUAUUCACAUUUAUAUGUCAAUGUCUAUACCCACAUAUGGGUCAUAGGUUGGCUUCUUCAGAGCAGACGUUGACAUGGAGAUUCAUAUGCAAGUGAUUUAUUUAAGGAAAUGUUUCUCCUAGAAACUCCCAGUAAGGGAGUAAAGAAAGCAGGACAGGAAGGAGAAAGAGCCAAAUAAGGCUGUGUUCUCAGGCAAAAGUCCUGCAGAGGGUAGAUUUGAGCCUGAUCCUGAAGGGGAAGUCUGAAGUAUACAUCAUCCCAACUCAAGGCAAGGGAGCUGGGCUUUCACUCUCCCCCUUCCAACAUCCAACAAUCAUUGUAAACUCCCAGACACCUCUAGCUGUCUGUACUAAUGGGCUAGUGCUAAUUCCCAGUAGCCUAAGAGCUAUUCACCAAAGAAGAGCCAGGAGUGCUUUUGAAAGCAUAUUAAGUGAGGUGUGGUGACUUCUGUGGAGCACCAACAUUUUCUGCUAGAAUGUUCCUAGGUGUGCUGGUCUCCCCAGCCUCACUGGCUAUCUCUUCUCAGUUUUCUUUAAGAGUUCCACUUCCUCUAUGCCUUAAAUGAUGGCAUUUCACCUGCUUAAAACUCUUCCCUGGUUCCUGACUGCCUUGAGGAUAAAGUACAAGUCCCUUCACAUGAUUAAGAAGUCCCUUCAUCCUCUGCCCUCUGCUGACUACCCCCAAGCCUCAUCUUUCACAUGGCCCCUCACUCUACUGCAACCAGACAAGACCUUGCUGUUGUAUAGGAAUUGUAGAGGGGUCCCACAAAGCCUUAAAACUGCUCAUAGACCACGGGAGAAGACAGAAAUGUGACAGGCAAAUCUAGAAGUUUAUGGGAAUAGAGAUAAGAUACCUAACUUAGCCUGGGUUCAAUGAAGACUUCCCAUGAGGAACAAAUGUGAAGGCAAAACAGGAAGAUAAGUGUAGAAAGAGUGAUCCUGGCAGGAUUUGCAGCACUGGGGAGAGGUGGGGAAUUGUGAGCAGGCAUGGAACAGAGUGGUCACAAAAUAAAUAUUUGUGCAAUGAAUACAUGAGUGAAUAGCCACACAAGUUUUACACAUUAUGGGCUUUGGAAUUUAAAAGCCUUGAUUCCUGUCUCCUCCUAAUUACUCACUGAGAAACCUCAAACAACUUAUUUAACCACUCUGAACCUCAGUUUUCUCAUUUGGAAAAUGGGGCUAAUGAAAAUAUCUGAUAUGAAACCAUGGGUGCAAAAAUAUUCUGUAAGCUGCAAAACCCUGUUCAAAUAUUGGCUUUCAUUCAUUUAUUUAUUCAAAGAAUAGUUUUGAGUUCCUACUGUAUUCCAGGUCAUGCGCUGGGAAUUUGUCCUGGAAAUAGGAACUAGAUGGGGACUCUGUUUCCAAGUAGAGAGGAGAAAAGUUUAGGAGAGGAGGCAAGGAGACAAGAGAGGAGAGAAGUUUAGCUCAUAAUGAGACAUGUUGCCAUAGUUACAAUCUGGGAGCUGAGAGAGCUCAGUGAAGGUUUCACAAAGAAGGUAAAAUUUGUAUAAGUGUGCCCUGAUGGCUAAGGGUGGGUGUGUCAAGUGAAGGAGGGGUCCAAGUAGAGAGAAAAUAUAUGAAGACACAGGGGGUUAAAAAACGGUGUGUUUAGACCAGGGGGAUUGGUCUGGAUGGCAUAGUGUAUGUGGGAUGGUGGUAGGAUGUGAAAAGGAAUGAGAAAGUCUUGUGAGGUCAAAUCAUAGAGAGGAAAUUUGAAUAUUUUUCUAUAGGUAUUGGGGACCCUUUUCGGCAUGAGAGUUGCAGUGGCACUGAGAUGACAGGAAUAAGUGAGCAAAGCCUGUUUGAGGUCUAGGAAGAAGAGGUAUGGUAACGGUACCUUAAGAACUGGAGAAACUUCUGGACCUUCACUGCCAAUGCACAACCAUCACCGCCACCAAGCUUCAGCAAUCUCUCCCUUGGACAGCUACCUGCUGUGAAAAUACUUGCUCAAUGUGGUUCCUCUUGAAAAUGUUGUUCCUGCAUUAUGACUUUCAUUACACAUUUCCCAAUGAGCUUUGUUUGGUUAUUUUACUUGUGUUUCUAUUGACAGGGCAUAGGAUGAAACACCUUCUAAUUACCUCUGAAUAUCUUUACUGGUUAUCUAUGGCUGUGUACAAACCAUCCAAAACUCAGUGGCUUAACACACCCAUUUACAGAGGUCAUGAUUCUGUAGGUUUGUAUUUGGGCUAUCCUCAGGCAGGCAGUUCCACUGCUGAUCUUGGCUGGGCUCAUUCACUUUGUGUAUAGUUUUGGGUCAGUUGGGAAGCUCUGCUUUGGAGAUAGGCUGGCUAUCAACUCUGUGGUUAUGGGUAUCAACUGAGCCAUGUGUUUUUUAUCAUCUAGGAGGGUAGUCUGGGCUUGAGCACAUGACAGUAGUCUCAGUAUUCCAAGAAGAGCAAGAGAUGUAGCUGCAAUGCCUCUUGAACUAGGCUUAUAACUCACCCAGUGUCAUUUAUAUUAUUGGCCAAAGCAAGUCACAAAGCCAGCCUGAAAUGCACUCCACCUUAUGAUGGGAGAAUUUGCAAAGUGCUGUGGCAAUUUUCCCAAUAUGCUUCAAGGUGUAUAAACUUUCUUCCAUUAAUCCUGGCAUACGCAAGGAGGAAAGAAUGGAAAACAUUCCAAAGAAAGUUUUUGUUAUUGUUGUUAUUUUCUAUAACCAUAAAAAAGACUGGAAGCAUGAUGAUUCCCUAUUGUUUACACAUUAUCAUUAUUAUUUAUUGAGCACCUCAUAUGUGCCAGAGACCAGUCAAAUAACAAUGAAAAAGAUAUACACAGUACUUGUUCCCAUGGGGCUUACAGUCUGA
rnacentral:lncRNA from 1 species